rnacentral:sRNA from 1 species
GCUGUUUCCAGACGCUGGGGACUCCCUGACCCAUCUCGGCCCUUGCCAGGACACCUUUUCACCCAGGGCAGGGGACAGAGGCCUCUGAGCCACAGGCCUCCAGCAGUUUCCCCCAGAUUCCCAGUGGCCUGGUGGCCCCACCCCACACAGUGCCACCUCUUGACAUUGUCCACUGUGUGGAGGGUGCUACUAUGUAGAAUGUGGACCAGCAACAGCCCUGCCCCCGUGUCUGGGUGCACCAUCCAGUUCUGCAGAUGUGGAGACUGAGGCUGCUGUGGCAGGGUUCGGGUUAUUGCCUGGUGUGGGGGACACUGGACAGGGAAGGAGGUACUAUCUGGGUGACCGCAGACCCUAGGUACACAGCCUGGACUGGGCAGAGGGGACACGUUCAGAGGUGUGAGAAGCUGAACCCCCAGGACUUAGUGACAGGGCUGUGAGGGGUAAAGAGGGGUCACCACGCCCACCCCCCGGGUGGGGAACGUGGAGGGCAGUGAAGGUGUGGUGGAUGUGGCUGCAUUGGACGGGUUGGGUGUGGAGAUGCCUGAGGGCCAUAGGUGGGUGGCUGGACGUGGUGAGGGUAUGGAGCCUGACAGACACCCCGCUGGAGUCAGAUGGAAACCUGGGAGGGGUCCUUGUGCAGCUGGCUUGGAGGGGAUUUGGUCUCAGCAUGCAGGGCAGGGGUGCAGGUGCAAACCGGGGCCCCAGGGAACAGCCCGGGCGAGGUCGGGAGGGGCCUGUGGUGUGACCGCCGGACCAGCAGAGGUGGGGAAAGACGUGGCAGGAACCCUGGGGCGGCCAAGUGCGGGGCAUCAGCUAUGCCUGGGGACGGGGUGCGUGUCCAUGGCCCGGUGCCUGCAGCAAGCGGACACUGAGGCAGAGAGGGGUGCGAGAGUCAGGGGCUGGGGGCACUGCUAGCCCAAAGAUUGGUUGGGUGUAGCAGGUGGUUGGGUGUGAAGGACUUGGGGAGGGGGAGCAGUAUUUAAGGACUGGUGGAACAGGGAGUUGACUGCUGUAUCUGGAAGGCCAUCCAAAGGCCAGGGGUAAACUGAGGCUCUGUGAAGCUGCCUGACUUGUGAGAUGUCUGCCCCGAGCCCACCCCAUAGCCCCUUCAUCCUCCCCUCCCACACCUGCCCCGUGGAGAAUCCCUGCCUAGCUCAUUGUCUGCCUCCCCUCUGGACCGCAGGCUCCCGGGGCAGGGGCAGGGUUUGUCUUACCCCUGGCUGUGAGGUCUCAGACAGGUUGCUUGCUCUGAGAGGUGAGGGUAGGGACCUCAGGGUGCCCAGAAGGGGCAGGGCUGGGUGAGGGGGCACAGUGAGCUGGGGGUGCAGGUCUCAGAAUAGCACGGACCUAAGGCUGGUCAGUGAGGCCUGGGGUGUGGCUGGAGAAGGGGUGAGGACUUGGGGCUGAGGUGGCCACGUGGGUGGAUGGACGACGCCCUCAACCUCUUCCCGAGGGCUGUGGGUACACCAGGAGCCCCUGCAGGGAACAGUCGACUUCAGGGGCUGCUGCGCAGCCCAUUGUGCCUGCCCUAGGAGCCCAGGAUGGCAUAGGAGUCCCCAGGAAGUUCACCACCUCCCUGGGGAGGACAGGUCUGUGCUGGGAAGCAGCCUGGGACCUGUAGCUAUAGAGUGCUAGAAGUGGGGCAGCCACGGAAGGCUGCCUGGAGGAGGUGGAAGGAGGCCUGAGCACUGUCCCAGAGAGCGCUCCCAGAGGCAGACCCACGUGGGCAGCUGUGGCACUUUGCCUCAGGGCUUCCCUCGUUGCUUGUUACUCUACUUCCUCUUGUGGUGACUGACUCUUGGGAAGACCCGCCCUGCCCUUCUCUGAGGUUCUCAAAAACAUAAGCGACGCUUUAUUUUUAUUUGUUUUUAAAAAUAUAGCCCUGGGCAGGAAUCCAAGAGUGCUUCCUGGAGGCUUGCUGGGUGUGUGCCCGCAGUGCCACAUGCGGUUUACUCACAGGGCCCAGACAGAAGAUGCCUCUGCUCGGGGCUGGGGGACAGUGGUGGCCCCAGGGGGACUGGGAGCCUCCUGCCUGCCCUCUACUCCCCUCGCUUGGGUUUGGGUCGGGAAUAUCACAAGAACGCGGGCUCUUGCCCAAGGUCCCACAGCACAUCUGGGCAGAGUCAGGGUUCCAGGCCCUCUCCCACACCUCAAGUUUCCUGCAUGACACCCGGGACUUCUGCCUGUCCCGUCCCCAUCUCACAGCAACACAAUCCAAAAGAUGUUGGUCCCAGAUAGCCCCUGGGCUGUGCACCCAUUGCAAGGAAAGAACUGCUGGCUGCUGACCCACUCUGACCCAGACAACCGGAAGUGCAGCCCCUGCCUUGGGGAGCUCCGAGCCAUCCCUGUUGGAGGCCCCCACACUACCCUCCUGCCUUUGCACAGCUUUAGUUCAGGUGAAUUGUUGGCAGGUGGCUCGGAAGAGUGGGUCAUAGUGGGUCUCUGUUUCCUGAGCAUGUGGGGCUCUGCAUCCUGGGGUCCUACCCUCCAGGAGACCCCAUUCUGGGGGAAGAAAAUAGAGCCUCAAGAAUUGUCUGGGUUUCUGGAAGGCUUCCUGGAGGAAGGGGAACUUGAGCAGGCCGGGACCUUGCCAGGUUUCCCGUGCUGCAUGCAGCCUCACUGGCCAUGGUGGCAGACACUGCCUGGGCAUGGGCCAUUGCCACCAAACAUCUCUCUGGCCCAGAGAAGUGACCCAGGGUCCCAGGGCCACACAGCCAUUUUGGGGAAAGCAGGUCUGGUCUUGGGCGUGGCACUGCUGACUCUGGGCCUCAGCCAUCCCAACCUAGCACUGUGGAGGAGCAGGAGUGAGGGCCCCAGUCACCUGUGCCACCCAGGGCCAGCUCUGUGAUAGCCUGGGUGCUGAUGGGUGCUCUUUGUACCUGGGUCCUUUAAACCGCCCCCAACACACUGGCCAGGUUCUGGGGUCAAAGACUCCUCCAGCCACCACCUGGGAUUUACCUGUGAGAGGGACACUGGUGGAGUCUGAGGAACCGCCCAGGCCAGACUGGCUCAGGGUCAGAGUCCCUGACUCUGGGGCGCCGUGGUCUUCAGUGACGCCCGGGAGGCUGUGUGUGUGAGUGUGUGUGUGUGUGUGUGUGUGUGUGAGUGUGUGUGUGUGUGCGCGCGCGCGCGCAGGUACUCGCGUGUUAGUGCGGCACGCCCCGGCUGGCCUGCGGGCCUUAGUUUCCCCCGCUCAGCGCCGCGGCCCGGCCCGCCGCCGCCAUGUCGUUGCAGCGCGCUGCAGGAGCAGAAGGGCGAGCUGCGCAAGCGGCUGUCCUACACCACACACAAGCUCGAGAAGCUCGAGACCGAGUUCGACUCCACGCGCCACUACCUGGAGAUCGAGCUGCGGCGCGCGCAGGAGGAACUGGAGAAGGUCACGGAGAAGCUGCGCAGGAUUCAGAGCAACUACAUGGCACUGCAGAGGAUCAACCAGGAGCUGGAGGACAAGCUGUACCGCAUGGGCCAGCACUAUGAGGAGGAGAAGCGUGCGCUGAGCCACGAGAUUGUUGCCCUCAACAGCCACCUGCUAGAAGCCAAGGUGACCAUCGACAAGCUGUCGGAGGACAACGAGCUCUAUAGGAAGGACUGCAAUCUAGCGGCCCAGCUGCUGCAGUGCAGCCAGACCUACGGCAGGGUCCACAAGGUGUCUGAGCUGCCCUCGGAUUUCCAGGAGCGCGUGAGCCUGCACAUGGAGAAGCACGGCUGCAGCCUGCCAUCCCCGCUCUGCCACCCGGCCUACGCUGACAGCGUCCCCACCUGCGUCAUUGCCAAGGUGCUGGAGAAGCCGGACCCCGCCAGCCUGUCCUCCCGCCUGUCCGAUGCCUCCGCCCGCGACCUGGCCUUCUGCGACGGGGUGGAGAAACCAGGCCCGCGGCCCCCCUACAAGGGAGACAUCUACUGCAGUGACACAGCCCUCUACUGCCCGGAGGAGCGGCGGCGAGACCGGCGGCCUAGCGUGGACGCGCCCGUGACCGACGUGGGCUUCCUGCGGGCCCAGAACUCCACUGACAGCGCGGCCGAGGAGGAGGAGGAGGCCGAGGCGGCGGCCUUCCCGGCGGGCUUCCAGCACGAGGCCUUCCCCAGCUACGCGGGCUCACUGCCCACGUCCAGCUCCUACUCCAGCUUCAGCGCCACGUCGGAGGAGAAGGAGCACGCGCAGGCCAGCACGCUGACCGCGUCGCAGCAGGCCAUCUACCUGAACAGCCGCGACGAGCUCUUCGACCGCAAGCCACCCGCCACCACCUACGAGGGCAGCCCUCGCUUUGCCAAGGCCACGGCCGCGGUGGCGGCCCCGCUGGAGGCCGAAGUGGCCCCAGGCUUCGGGCGGACCAUGUCACCGUACCCGGCCGAGACCUUCCGCUUCCCGGCCUCUCCGGGUCCCCAGCAGGCCCUGAUGCCCCCAAACCUGUGGAGCCUGCGGGCCAAGCCGGGGACCGCCCGGCUCCCCGGGGAGGACAUGAGGGGCCAGUGGCGUCCCCUGAGCGUGGAGGACAUCGGCGCCUACUCCUACCCCGUGAGCGCUGCCGGCCGCGCCUCACCCUGCAGCUUCUCUGAACGCUACUACGGCGGGGCCGGGGGCAGCCCGGGCAAGAAGGCCGACGGCCGCGCCAGCCCGCUCUACGCCAGCUACAAGGCCGACAGCUUCUCCGAGGGGGACGACCUCUCCCAGGGCCACCUGGCAGAGCCCUGCUUCCUGCGGGCGGGCGGCGACCUGAGCCUCAGCCCCGGCCGCUCGGCUGACCCACUGCCCGGCUAUGCACCCAGCGAGGGGGGGGACGGGGACAGGCUCGGGGUGCAGCUGUGUGGGACCGCCAGCAGCCCUGAGCCCGAGCAGGGUUCCAGGGACUCCUUGGAGCCGAGCUCCAUGGAGGCCUCCCCGGAAAUGCAUCCUGCCGCCCGCCUCAGCCCCCAGCAGGCCUUUCCGCGGACUGGUGGCUCGGGGCUGAGCCGCAAGGACAGCCUCACCAAGGCCCAGCUCUACGGAACCUUGCUCAACUGAGCGCCUGCGUGCAGGCCCGGCCGUGGUUCGCUCCCCGCCAGCCCACGUGCCCCAGAAGGGCCGGCCUCACCUCUCCCCAGCCCCCGCUGUUCCCCCGCCCCGGCCAACAAGGAGGAGUCUGUUCCUCCCCGCACCUCCUCUCCUCCCCAGCCCUGUAGGCCUGAGAGGAGGGUCCCCCACACCACGGUGUCCACCCAGCCCCGCCCCGUGGAACUCCACUUAGAGCGUUUUUCACACGUCCUUCCCCCAUGUGAGAGGAGCAUCCCCCCUUUUAUAAAGCGAAACUAUUUUUAUAGAGAAAAAGGGUCUUUCUUAACGCACUUGGCCUCCAGCUCCCUGGACGGCUGCCUUGGCGUUUUCAACACAAAGCUCCUUUAUUUUUUGGGCGAGGGUGCGUGGGGCCUGCCCCUUGGAAGGGAAGGGAAGGACGGUGUCCUGUGGAGACCAGACUCUGCAAGUGGGGAGACCACCCCCGCAAGCCAGUGACAAGGGAACCCUGAAGUUGUGUCCACGAAGAGGGAGCUGAAACAAAUCCGGGGCUAUGAAGUGUUUUAAAAAUCCAUUCUUCGCAGUGUGGCCACCACACCGCCCUGAGCCCUCCCACGGCCCAUAGUCCCGGGUGGGCCAGGAUGAUGCCCCAGUGCGGCCGGUGCUCAUCUCCGCCCCCGGGUCCGCCCCCCGACACCGUCUUACUCUACCUCAGACAUGAUGAGGCCCUCCAUUCCUGGUUUCUGUAGCUUGCAUUCUUGUUGUCUCUGAUGCAUGCCCUGUCAGUUAGUACUGUAUUUUGCAUUCAUUAAUAAAAGACACCGGUGG